ACUAGGAGCUUCAGUGAUAAACCAUCUACUUGGAAAGCAGAAGGUCCCAGGUUCAAUCCCUGGCAUUUCUAGUU
rnacentral:tRNA from 1 species